AUUUCUUCUCCAAAAUUUCGUCCAAACAGCCAUGGGAGGGAGAGUUUAAGUUGGUUUUGAAUAAUUUUUCUUCAUAUUUUCAGAAGAUUGGACAAUCGGAUCAACACUCAAGUCACACUAUCCAACUUAUUUCAGUAGUUUUUGAAACGUUCAAUACAAUUUAUAUGGCAUGUUUAGGCUUUUGUAUGGAUUGGAUUAAAGUUUGGCUUGUGUAAAUGUUAUGAAUUAUAUUUUGUUUAUAUAACCAACUUUUAUAUAUAUAUAUAUAUUUGGUUUGAGGAUGAAGAA